UCAUGGCGGCUGCACGAACGAUAGCUCUGACACAGGUCCUCAGACCCCAUGUCCCUCUUAUCAAGUUUCGCGGUGGCAAAGGACCCAAAAAAGAGCAUUUCACAGUGCCUCCUGCUGUGGCUACUCCUGUGCACAAAGCACCACAGCAGUCAUCUUUUGUUGUAAAAGGCACAAGUGUUAAAGGUUCUGGUGUUGAAGCAAAGCAUGUGUCAUCUAAGUAUAAAUCCAAACCUCUUACAGCAGAUGAAAUUGAAAUUAUACAGAGAGGUGGUGCUGACCUAUGAUCUAGUCAUUAUGUUUAUAUGCCGGCUCCAAGUUUGUCAGCGGUUGAAUUAUUAAUGUCUGUGUGAAAAUUGGUAGCAAUAUCAAGUUGUUGAAGAAAAUGAAACAAUGACCCUGUGUAUACAGUGUGAAAUCGUAGUCAAGAUGUGCUGCAAUGUUCCCAUUUGUAUACCUGUAUUUUAGCUCACUAGACAAUAUCACUAAAAUGAAUUUGGUUUUUAAAAAGAUGGAAACUGUUUUUUCUCUUACUGGUAGUUAUUUCCUCUGACACAAUUUAUCCUGAUGGUACAUUGCUGGCAGACACUAACUUACACAGUGAAAUGACUAUAUGAUAUAUUAUCAACACAUUGUGCAAGAUUGUAAUUAUUGAACUUUUAUAAUCUUAAUUAUGUUUUGUUGAUUAAUAUAACCUUGUAUUGCAAUAAGUCCAACUGAAAGCUCUCUGGCUAGAGCCCUCUGAGGCAGGCUCAAGAAGCUGGUAACCUGGCUUUGAUGACUGGUUCCAAAUGCUGAUCUCUGGCUCUUAUAUCUGGUGCCAAUGAGUGUUACCUGGCUCUGGUUACUACCUUCUGUAUUUGCUACAUAUACCUGAUUCUGAUGUUUUUGUGCCUGGUGACAGGUUUCUGUGCUUGCUGUGCUUUGGCUGGUGCACCAGUUGGGCUUUCAUUUAGCAUUGUGACUUUUUGAUUCAAUUAAUGUAUAAUAUUUCACUACUUGUAGUCACAGUAAAAAAUUUACUUUUUCAAUGACAGUCUCAGAAUAAUCUGUUGUUAUUCAUGAAUAAUGGAUGUAUUUUAUGUUUGCCGUGUUUAUCACUAAACAUGAACAUUGUUGUGUACCUGUAUUUUAUUCACUAACAUAUUUGCCAGAGUAAGUAAAAAAUUGGUUAUGUGGGUGCUGACCUCUUUCAAGUGACAUCAAACUCUCAUUAACCCAUAUUCACACUGGCGUAAUGUUUUCAAAAAUAUAAAAAAUAUAAAAAGGUCAAAAUAUAUUUUCACCCUCACAAAUUCUUACAAAGAUGCAAUGGAAAUGUUUAAAUAAAUUAUAUUAACAUUUAUUAUACACAAAAAUGUGCAAUGUAUGCAUACAUAAAAUCAACCAAACAUUAAAUAAAAUGAUAACUAUGCUGGCUUACAA